rnacentral:tRNA from 2 species
UGAGAUGUAGCUUAUUAUUAAAGCUAAUUAUUUACAUUAAUUUGAAAAUAUUUUUAUUCUUCUUAA